UAAGGGGUACAAGGGGUGGCUUUCGAUUCUCGAGAGAUGCUCCACGAAAUUGUAAUGGCCGGCCAGCAGCCCAAAAAGCAAGUCACGCGGCUGACUUGAAGCUUCACACACACACAGGCAGACUCACACAUAUGCACAGCGAAGUGGAGAGCGAGAGAUCGCUGAGCGUAACAAGUGUCAGUGGAGCUGCUAUCAGGUGGCAACACUGGCGCAUUGAAAUUUGAAAGCAGGCGCCCACUUUUAACGUUUUUCGUUUCAUAUUAGUUUUGUUUUGUUACGUAAUGCAGCCGCCGUCUACGCUGCCGCUGCCACCACCACCACCGGCUUUGCUUUGGUGCUGUACUCUACGCGCCGCUGCGCCCGCUUAACUAGUCAAGCAUAACAACAACCCGUUUUGGUUAAUUUACAUAAAAUACGAUAUAACAACAAUAGCAAGUCGCUGCACACUUGUUGCGCAGCCCCUCCCACUCUCCCUUUACCUAACAAUAAAAUUAAAAUGAAAAUCUAUCCUAGCGCUGCGCAGUCGACGCAUGAGCAAACAAACUGAGUGAGAGUGCCGAAACAGCGGCGGCUGCGCAGCCGACUGUUGCGCUUCAUGGCUAGCGCACGUGAAAGUACAAAAAAGAGCCGAAGAGAGAACAACAGACAGAGAGAGGAUUUUGUUUUCAAGUUCGAAACCAACUUCGAAUUUUUUGUGACUGAACGUCGACGUCGACGCCGCCGUUGUCGCAUCGCUGUCUGCACUCAAAAUGCAAAUUGCAGCAUAGUCGAUGACGUCAGCGCGUCUUCUGCUGCUUUGUGUUUGUUGCUGCGCUGUGCAAAAUUUAAGCGAAUUCAAUGCCAAA